UGGCGCAUACAGAGGGCGGCCAACUUGCGAAAGUGAGCGAAUCCCAAAAAGUGCGUCGUAGUCCGGAUUGGAGUCUGCAACUCGACUCCAUGAAGUCGGAAUCGCUAGUAAUCGUGGAUCAGAAUGCCACGGUGAAUACGUUCCCGGGCCUUGUACACACCGCCCGUCACACCAUGGGAGUGGGCUGCAAAAGAAGUAGGUAGUUUAACCUUCGGGGGGACGCUUACCACUUUGUGGUUCAUGACUGGGGUGAAGUCGUAACAAGGUAGCGCUAGGGGAACCUGGCGCUGGAUCACCUCCUUAAACGAUGAU
rnacentral:rRNA from 1 species